CCUACGGGAGGCAGCAGUGGGGAAUAUUGGGCAAUGGGCGCAAGCCUGACCCAGCAACGCCGCGUGAAGGAUGAAGGCUUUCGGGUUGUAAACUUCUUUUGUCAGGGAAGAGUAGUAGACGGUAUCUGCCGCAUUAGCUACGCCUAACUACGUGCCAGCAGCCGCGGUAAUACGUAGGUGGCAAGCGUUGUCCGGAUUUACUGGGUGUAAAGGGCGUGUAGCCGGGUUGACAAGUCAGUUGUGAAAUCCUGCGGCUUAACCGCAGAACUGCAUUUGAAACUGUUGAUCUUGAGUGCGGGAGAGGCAGACGGAAUUCCUAGUGUAGCGGUGAAAUGCGUAGAUAUUAGGAGGAACACCAGUGGCGAAGGCGGUCUGCUGGACAGCAACUGACGGUGAGGCGCGAAAGCGUGGGGAGCAAACAGGAUUAGAUACCCCUGUAGUC
rnacentral:rRNA from 1 species